UCGCAAGACGAUGUAUACGGACUGACGCCUGCCCGGUGCUGGAAGGUUAAGAGGAAGGGUUAGCCUUUGGGCGAAGCUCUGAAUUUAAGCCCCAGUAAACGGCGGUGGUAACUAUAACCAUCCUAAGGUAGCGAAAUUCCUUGUCGGGUAAGUUCCGACCUGCACGAAUGGCGUAAUGAUGGCCACGCUGUCUCCAGCCGAGACUCAGUGAAGUUGAAAUUGCGGUGAAGAUGCCGUAUACCCGCGGCUAGACGGAAAGACCCCGUGAACCUUUACU
rnacentral:rRNA from 1 species